GCCCUUCGGGGAGCGCGGUGACAGGUGCUGCAUGGCUGUCGUCAGCUCGUGCCGUGAGGUGUUGGGUUAAGUCCCGCAACGAGCGCAACCCUUGUCCUUAGUUGNCAGCGACAUUUGUCGGGCACUCUAGGGAGACCGCCUCGGUCAACGGGGAGCUUCCA
rnacentral:rRNA from 1 species